rnacentral:rRNA from 1 species
UACGUAGGUGGCAAGCGUUAUCCGGAUUUAUUGGGCGUAAAGGGAACGCAGGCGGUCUUUUAAGUCUGAUGUGAAAGCCUUCGGCUUAACCGGAGUAGUGCAUUGGAAACUGGGAGACUUGAGUGCAGAAGAGGGGAGUGGAACUCCAUGUGUAGCGGUGAAAUGCGUAGAUAUAUGGAAGAACACCAGUGGCGAAAGCGGCUCUCUGGUCUGUAACUGACGCUGAGGUUCGAAAGCGUGGGUAGCAAACAGG